CUUUAACCAAGGCAUGGGCAUUUGGUCAUGGCUGUAGCACUUGCUCUAGCCGUUGUUGGCAGGAGUCAUCUUCAGAUUCUGGAAAACCAAGCUGCUGACAACUAGGGGUGCAAGAACAUAAGCGACGUAAAGAAACAGUGUUGGUGUGUGAAUAGGACAAGCAGUAGUGUGGUCCAGCCAAGGACUGGGGAGCUUUGGAGGUGGAACUGCACCUUGGGGCCUCUCGAGGAAUGCCUGUCAAUCUCUCAAGUCCUUAGAUAUCGCCAUACUUCCCUGCAUGGACACAUUGAAGAUCAGUGUCACCUGCCAAUUCUUGAAGAAUCAUUUCAAAAUUUGGCAUCAAACCGACUCCCUUUCCUCUUGAAUGUCCCACAAUGCCCUGCGAUAAGGAGGGGAGAGCUUUCUUCCUUCCUCUCCCUGUUUGGAAGGACCCCCACCAGUGUGGAGUGACUCUGUUUCCAGACUUGCUCUUCAACAUGUUAAAGGAAGGGCUUUGCUAUGUGAGCAUUCUUCUUUCCUCAAAUCCUGCUUCUAAGAAUUGUCUUGUUCUUAACAAGAAAACUUGAUUUGACACUUAAAAUAUAAUUUCCAUUCAGGUACAUGUUCAUUAUUUGCUCAGCAGAAAAUAAAC